rnacentral:rRNA from 1 species
GAUGAACGCUGGCGGCGUGCCUAAUACAUGCAAGUCGAGCGAACGGACGAGAAGCUUGCUUCUCUGAUGUUAGCGGCGGACGGGUGAGUAACGCGUGGAUAACCUACCUAUAAGACUGGGAUAACUUCGGGAAACCGGAGCUAAUACCGGAUAAUAUUUUGAACCGCAUGGUUCAAAAGUGAUAGACGGUCUUGCUGUCACUUAUAGCUGGAUCCGAGCUGCAUUAGCUAGUUGGUAAGGUAACGGCUUACCAAGGCAACGAUGCAUAGCCGACCUGAGAGGGGGAAGGCGCACUGUGAAACUGAACCACCGCCCAGGCUCGUAGGGGAGGCAGCAGCAGGGAAUCUUGGGAAAUGGGGGAAAGCUUGACGGAGCAACGCAGCGUGGGUGAUGAAGGGCUGCGUAUCGUAAAACGCUGUUAUGAGGGAAGAACAGAUGUGUAAGUAACGGUGCACAUCUUGACGUAACCUAAUCAGAAAGCCACGGCAAACUACGU